UCAGCCUAGAGAAUUGAUCACACCAUGAGCUAGUCUACAGUGGGUCUAGCACUGACAGCAAGGGAGGGCUCCUGGGAUCAAUUUCCCAGUCCACCACUGACUGAUACGGAAAAGGAAAGCAGUGCCACAUCUGGCAAGUGCAGACUGCACUCCCAAUGGUGGUGAGGGACAACGCUGGAGUGUCCUCAGACAGACAGAGUUUCAUGCAGUGAAGCUGCUCCACACAAGUUCCCAGCAUACCACAAAACUAGGAUUUCAGCUCAAGCAGACUUGUGACAGGUACCUGCCUAACUAACCUCUGCUUGCACAAGCAUUAGAUCUGCCAGAGUAUUUCCAGUUAACCAGAACUGUGUGAGGACAACACCUACUCCAUUUAUCCUCAACUGCAGCCUAUCAGUCCAUGAACACUGCAGCCAGUCAUUUUACACAG